UACGUAGGAGGCAAGCGUUGUCCGGAAUCACUGGGCGUAAAGCGCGUGUAGGCGGAUCGCUAAGUCUGUGGUGAAAGCGCCUGGCUUAACCGGGCGAGGUCCAUGGAAACUAGCGGUCUGGAGGCCGGUAGAGGGGGGUGGAAUUCCGGGUGUAGCGGUGAAAUGCGUAGAUAUCUGGAGGAAUACCGGUGGCGAAGGCGGCAUCCUGGACCAUUUACUGACGCUGAGGCGCGAAAGCUAGGGGAGCAAACGGG
rnacentral:rRNA from 1 species